rnacentral:rRNA from 1 species
AUUGAACGCUGGCGGCAUGCCUUACACAUGCAAGUCGAACGGCAGCACGGGUGCUUGCCCCUGGUGGCGAGUGGCGAACGGGUGAGUAAUACAUCGGAACAUGUCCUGUAGUGGGGGAUAGCCCGGCGAAAGCCGGAUUAAUACCGCAUACGAUCCACGGAUGAAAGCGGGGGACCUUCGGGCCUCGCGCUAUAGGGUUGGCCGAUGGCUGAUUAGCUAGUUGGUGGGGUAAAGGCCUACCAAGGCGACGAUCAGUAGCUGGUCUGAGGGGACGACCAGCCACACUGGGACUGAGACACGGCCCAGACUCCUACGGGAGGCAGCAGUGGGGAAUUUUGGACAAUGGGCGAAAGCCUGAUCCAGCAAUGCCGCGUGUGUGAAGAAGGCCUUCGGGUUGUAAAGCACUUUUGUCCGGAAAGAAAUCCUUGGCUCUAAUACAGUCGGGGGAUGACGGUACCGGAAGAAUAAGCACCGGCUAACUACGUG